rnacentral:rRNA from 1 species
UACAGAGGUCUCGAGCGUUAGGCGGAAUCACUGGGCUUAAAGCGUGUGUAGGCGGAUCGUUAAGUACCUUGUGAAAUCCCACGGCUUAACCGUGGAACUGCUUGGUAUACUGGCGGUCUUGAGCCAGCUAGGGGCUACCGGAACAAAUGGUGGAGCGGUGAAAUGCGUAGAUAUCAUUUGGAACGCCCAAUGGUGAAAACAGGUAGCUGGGGCUGUGCUGACGCUGAGACACGAAAGCCAGGGGAGCAAACGGG